AGAGCGAACGCUGGCGGCAUGCUUAACACAUGCAAGUCGCACGGGCAGGGGAAACCCUGUCAGUGGCGGACGGGUGAGUAACGCGUAGGUAUCUAUCCUUGGGUGGGGGAUAACGGUUGGAAACGACUGCUAAUACCGCAUGAUAACUGAGGUUUAAAGGCGCAAGUCGCCUGGGGAGGAGCCUGCGUACGAUUAGCUUGUUGGUGGGGUAAAGGCCUACCAAGGCGACGAUCGUUAGCUGGUCUGAGAGGAUGAUCAGCCACAUUGGGACUGAGACACGGCCCAAACUCCUACGGGAGGCAGCAGUGGGGAAUAUUGGACAAUGGGCGAAAGCCUGAUCCAGCAAUGCCGCGUGUGUGAAGAAGGUCUUCGAAUUGUAAAGCACUUUCGACAGGGACGAUGAUGACGGUACCUGUAGAAGAAGCCCGCUAACUUCGCGCCAGCAGCCGC
rnacentral:rRNA from 1 species